GUGUGUUUGGGAAGGCAGUGUUUUAUGUUUGUGCAAGCUGUCAGAUGAGAAGGUAAGAUGGAGGGAGAGAUGAAUAGUUCCUUGCUGGGUGAAUGGAUGUGGGGAUAUUUCAGGAGGUUGUGGAAAAGUGAAAAUUAUGUGAAAAUCACCUG